rnacentral:rRNA from 1 species
GGAGGAAAGUAGGGGAUCGUAAGACCUUGCGCUUUUGGAGUGGCCGAUGCCUGAUUAGCUAGUUGGUGGGGUAAGAGCCUACCAAGGCGACGAUCAGUAGUUGGUCUGAGAGGACGACCAGCCACACUGGGACUGAGACACGGCCCAGACUCCUACGGGAGGCAGCAGUGGGGAAUUUUGGACAAUGGGCGAAAGCCUGAUCCAGCAAUGCCGCGUGAGUGAAGAAGGCCUUCGGGUUGUAAAGCUCUUUCAGUCGAGAAGAAAAGGUUGCGACUAAUAAUCGCAACUUAUGACGGUAUCGACAGAAGAAGCACCGGCUAACUACGUGCCAGCAGCCGCGGUAAUACGUAGGGUGCGAGCGUUAAUCGGAAUUACUGGGCGUAAAGGGUGCGCAGGCGGCUCUGUAAGUCAGAUGUGAAAUCCCCGGGCUUAACCUGGGAAUUGCGUUUGAAACUACAAGGCUAGA